GCUCAAAUGAGUUCUUUUACAAUAACGUGGAGAGGAAAGGAAACACACAAAAAGAUGAUGCGAAUAGCAGUGUGUCAUAUGAAUCUCAAUUCUUUGAGCAAGAAAAUGAAUUUGAGGAUUUGAAUGAACAAAGUGAAGAUUUUGCUGACAGUUA